rnacentral:rRNA from 1 species
AUCUUGCGCAAUGGCCGAAAGGCUGACGCAGCGACGCCGCGUGCGGGAGGACGCUCUUCGGGGUGUAAACCGCUGUCAGUGGGGACGAAUGGCCGGGGGAGGACAAUGCCCCCGUGCUUGACGGUACCCGCAGAGGAAGCACCGGCUAACUCCGUGCCAGCAGCCGCGGUAAUACGGAGGGUGCAAGCGUUGUUCGGAAUUAUUGGGCGUAAAGCGCGCGCAGGCGGUUCUUUAAGUCUACCUGUGAAAGACCGGGGCUCAACCCCGUGUUGGCAGGAGAUACUGGGGAGCUAGAGACAAGGAGAGGCAAGCGGAAUUCCGGGUGUAGCGGUGGAAUGCGUAGAGAUCCGGAAGAACACCGGAGGCGAAGGCGGCUUGCUGGACUUGGUCUGACGCUGAGGCGCGAAAGCGUGGGGAGCGAA